GCAUACAUUUGAGAUAGGACUUUUAUUUUAUCCAGAAGCUAAAAAUCACCAAAUGUUAUAUUUUAAUAUGCAGAUAACCCUUAUUCUGAUUUGGGUUUGGAAGCUUGAUCAGAAAAGGUUUUUACUGUGGUGUUUAGGACGUCACGUUCUUUAGAAAGAAAGCUGUCUGUUUUUCUUUUCUCCAGAGGAACUGCAGUUUAGGACAGGCACAAAGCUGGGAACAUAACCAAGGGCAGAAAAAAAAUUCACCCCUAUGUUCUGUUUGUCAAACUGACCUGCAGGUCACAACCUGAAAGUUUAUGGAUUGGUGAGGCCUUGUCUCCACAUAAGCAUGUUUUCUGGACUUUGGCUGAAGCUAAAUUCCUGACUUCUGAAAGAGGGGUGGGUGUGGACUUCCAGCAGGAAUAGCCAGUGGGAAGGAAGUAAUAUUCAUUAAGAGUGUCUCAUGCAAGCAGUGCCGGGCUAAGCAUGCUCAGUGUAAAUUCUCCUGGAGCCUGUCAAGCUAUGUUUGAACUCGUUCCAGAAUAGUGGAUUUACUUUUUUUUUUUUUCCCACCAGGAAGAAUACUCGAUAGACUGCAUUUUGCCUUGCUUUUCUUUCUUUCUUUCUUUUUCCUUUUCUUUAUCUUUCUUUCUUUCUUUCUCUUUCUUUUUCUUUCUUUCUUUCUUUCUUUCUUUCUUUCUUUCUUUCUUUCUUUUCUUUCUUUCUUUUUCUCUUUCUUUCUUCUUUCCUUCCUUCUUUCUUUUCUUUCUUUCCAUUUUUUUUCCUCCAGAAGAAUGGAAACAAUAUUCUUUUCUGAUCAGUUCAGUAAUACAGUGCCCUUCAGUGUCCAUGUGAGCAUUUCAGUGGAGAAGAAAAGAAACUUUGCUACCUGGGAACUGAAGACUACUUAGUGAAGAUCCUGGUGUUACACUUCCAGUUGUUCACCUCUUUCCAAGAUGAUCACAUUCCGGAAAACUUUCACUACUAAGAGGAACUGAGAUCUAGAGCGUCUCCUUGAGGACGUACAACCGGAUUCUCCCCUCUUUGGCUCUUCCCUGGACCAAGGACAGAAGAAUCAUUCAACACACACGCUAUGGGCAAAAGGGGCAUAUUUGGGGCAAAUAGGGCAUUAUAAAUUAAGGAGGAAAAAUAAGAAAGAGUUUGAAGACAUGCACAGCUCACAGGCCCUGGGUGGAGGCUGGCAGCAUCGGACAGACAGAACCAAGACAUCUGAGGGGCAACCAGGAGGUGCGUGUGGCUGCAGAGCACAGAGGGUGUGAUGCAAAAGGCUGACCACGGAGUGGGAGAGGGAGAGUUUGGAAAGUGAUACAGAGACAUAAGAAGGUUUGAAGUUGGUUCCAACUCGGCCACCCCAGAAACUUCACAAGGCAUGAGAGGAUGGGAGAUUGACACUGAAGGCUCAGUUGCACAGGAAGAUUCAGAGUGAGUAGGUGUGCCGGAAAGUCAAUCAAAUCAUUUGGUUUGUGUGUCAUAUAGCCACACCUACUCUGGACUUUGACCCAAACUAGAAGGAAUUCUGGUCUGAGGGUGUUUUUAGGUCCUCUCCAUUGGGAACUCAUGUUUCACACUUUCCCUUUCUUCCUUCGGAUCUUCCACAGUCGCUCCAGGUAAUGGAUUAGGAGUCAGAAAUUCCACAUUCCAGUCCAGGCUUUCCCACUUAUUGGCUUAAGAAAGGAAAUAUCUGCAUUUCCUUUUCCUCUGUCUAUAAAAGGAAGAUAAUAAUAUAAUACUUAUGAGCCCUACAGGGUUUUUCUGAGGGUUGAAUAAGUAAGAUAGUGUGAAAAAUGCUCUUAAUAGAUUACAAUUGCUAGUUAAAUAAAAGAUGGCAUGAAUAAUAUUAAUUAGGUAAUAUAUUCUUCGUAUUCUCAGCAGGGGGUUUGCCUAUUGAGCUUCACACACACACACAUAUAUGUAUGCACAUAUAUAUGUGAAGAAUAAGAUAAUGUAUAACAUAUAUUUUAUAAAGAUAUAUUAGCCUUAACCUACUAUCUGUGAAGAAAUUUCAAUAUAUGACUCUAUUUCCACAGCACUUGUUAGAGUAACCUCUUUGGCAGACAAAUAGGAAUUUUUGUGUUCUUACCUUUUUAGCCACCAUCAGAUGUUAUUUUCCCUGACCUUGGCUAUAUUUUUGUAUUUCUCAAACACGCAGAUAAUGAUUGAUGGUGUCUGCUUGGCUACCUGGAUGAGUGAUUUGUCUGUGUCCUGGACACUGCUGCCGGAACAAAUGUCACACUGUGUCUCAGGCACAUGAUCAGACUAAAUAUGCCUGGAAGAAGCAAAUAAGAGACUCUGUCAAUCAGUUAAUAAUCCCACUGCUAUAUUCCCUGCCUGAAGAGUGUGUGUGUGUGUGUGUGUGUGUGUGUGUGUUUUCUGGGUCAUUUAUUACUUAACUCAUUGAACCAUCUUGGAUGGAAAAUUGGGUUCUGCACACGGGGUCAGGCUGGUUGAGUCUGCCUGUGAAGACUGAAGCUGGCUUUGAUGCCUGUAGAUGCACUCACCCUUGCCUUGGGUUCCAGAGGCAACGUGGUGUAUGGGGAAGGCGAUGUAGAUGGUGGGAAAAUCACUUGACUUCUCUUGUUCAUCUGUUAAAUGAGACUGUUACCAUCCUUUCUUCGUGCAUCCAAAUGUAGAUGUCAGGAGCACAUGAGAUUAUGCUGUGCACACCAACAGUUCAUAACUCUCCGAGGUCAGUAUAAUUAUAAGGUUUUAUUGCCAUUAUUCUGCUGCAUGUUUCUUACAUGACUUACCCAUAUUUCACAAUUUAAAUUAUUUGAAAAGCUGCCCUUCCAGAGCUGUUAAUGUAUUCUCUUACUUUUUUCAUCUCCACCAAUCAACUGAUAAAUCAAAUAUUUAUAGAGAUGCUAAAUUUGUCAUAUACCUACUCAUUGCCAAAAAGUUAAUAUCCUAUCUAAAUCACAUGAAUAGAUGCACCAUGUAUACAUAGGCUAUUUGUAUUUUUCUAACCAUACCAAAUACAUAUCUACAUCCCUUUAUUCAAGCAUGUGCCUAUUCCCCUUCUAUUAAAAAUAUAUGCGAAUAUGUAUUUGAGCAAGAAACAUAUACCUACAUCCACAAACACAGCAUCUUCACUUAGAUAGCAGAGUUGAUGAGGAAUAGGAGCAAGUGCAUCACUCUAUCAGCUGCAGCUAUUUUAGAGUCCAGAAAUGACCACAGCACACAAUUCAUGUGGUUAAAAAAAUCAUGGAUCAAUUUCUGCCCUGUUCCUAGUAAUGAAUAUCAAUAUCUUGCCUCUUCUAGACAGACUGUCAGCAGCUUCAGAUAUUUUUAAAUGAGUUUUUAAAAAUAAAUUUGUGAAGUCAAUUAUUUUGAAUCUCAUCUGAAGCAAUUAAAAAACAUCCUGACAUUUAAGGUGAUAUUUUUUCCCAAGUAAAAUAAUUAUAAAUAAUACUAAUUAUGAGCAAAUCAUUCAGUUACUCUCAGUCUGGUUCAACCUUUAGGUUAAUAAACCAGUCCAUUAAAAUUCAUCUUGCUCAAAGGACCAAUUUGUUAAAAAAUGUAGCGACCUUUCACCAUAAGUAUGAUUGAUACUUUCUUUAACAAUAAUCAGAGCUGUCUUUCCCAGAAGAGAGUAUGGUCAAGUGAUAGGUAUAGAAAACUAGGGUUCUUUUAUGCCUCUCUUGGUAAUACUUCUCAGAUAGGUGCAAAAUGAUAUUGAUGAUGAAGAUGGUGGUGAUAAUGUACAAAAUUAAAACUCUAAUUUCAAAGAGAGUACCUUCAAAAGAUGUUUGAAAGCCUCAGGACAGCUGAUCACAAAACCCAACUAUAUUACUCUUCAUGCUAAAACCAGAAUUUAGAUAUUUCCCUCGCUUCUAGUGUUUCAUUCUCACCAAAGGUGUAGGACAGAGAUUUGCAAAUGUGUCCCAUGGGCCAAAUCUCGUCCCCGACAUGUUAUAAAGAAAGUUUUAUUGGAACAAAGCCCGUUAUGAGAUAUUGUCUUUGGAUGCUUUUCUCCUACAGAGGCAGAAUGGAGUUGUUACAACUAUUGUAGGACCUACAGAGGCAGAAUGGAGUUGUUACAACUAUUGUUACGACCCUGACUAUUGUAGGUUACAGCACUGGCUGAGGACUUUCCGAGACCACAUGGUCCACAAAUCUUAAAAUGCUAUUAUUCUCUUACAAAAAAAAUUUGCCAACCCCUAUGUUAGGUAAUAAAAAAAAAAAAAACACUUCAAGAUUGAAUUUACAUCAGUAGCUAAUAUUUGAACAAUACUUUAGAGUUUAUAAAGUCUGAUCAUGUUAUGUCAUAGCAGGUAUUAUUAUCUUCACUUAGCUGAAGAAGAAAUUGCCAAUGUUUCCGUAGUCAUUCAGCCAUAAAGUGGUGUAGAAAGGAUUUGACCUCUGAAGAUGGAAGAAUGCUGCCCCAAUGGUAGCUUUCAAGAAGCAGGAAAGGAGCUGGCUCUCACACUGCAGUAAUGGCUACCUGUCUCUUUUAUCCACCUGGAUGUGACCGUUGCUCAAAGACAGUGGAGAAAGCAAAACUCGUAACAUUCUUUUCUCUCAUCAUCUGAACCUGGCUGGGGCGAUUUUAGCCUUGUUCACCUCUACAUCCUUACUCAUAUAACCAGAGUUAUGUUAAUAAACAGAAAGGAGAGCAAAGUGGUUUGCAGUCAAAGCUAAACUUUUUUUGCAUCAACUCUUGCUUGUACAUACUGAAAGGAAUGUAUCCACGCUGAAAUUGGCACUGUGGCAUGAAUAUUCCAAAACAGCAGAUAACAGAAAAGUCUUUCUUUUGGAAUACCUUUUUAAAAAGUUUGCAUUUUGAAACAGUAAAUGCUUUCUUAGUUAUAUUUCUUUUUUAUUCAAGUUAAUAUCAAAAUUAUAUUUUCCCCUCUGAGCUUAGAACGUCUAUUAGCAAAAUAGGCCUUAAAGUUCUAGAUAUCAGGAGGAAGAAAGCCUGGAAUGAAAACUGUGCUUUUAAGAUGCAUAGAUAUAAAACAACAAUUGUUUGCUGUGACCAAAGCUUUUCUUAAUCUUGUGUUUUCUUGGAAAAGGGUGAGGGAUGAAAUGAAACAAAUAAGAAUAAGAAAUUUUUACAUUGAAUCUUUUCAGAAGAUUCCAAGCCAAAGAUAAAGAUUUAAACAAUUGAACUAAUUCGAUGUUUCAUUCAACCAAUCUUUAUUUUGAGUGUCCACUGUGCAGGCACUGCUAGGAGCUAGAGUAUCACAGUGACUAAGAAAAUUGAUUAGAGAAACAAAUGUGCGUACGUGUUGUUAGAAUAAACAAUGGGAUGGGAGUACAGAUAAAAUCUUAAGUAUGUAGAUUCUUAAUGGAGAAGUCAUUCUUCCUUAGACAAUCACAGAGGAUAUUAUGGAGGAAGUAGCAUUUUGUGAGACUUGAAGAAUACACAGGUAUUGGACAUUUGAAAAUGGGAGGGCGUGGCAUUCUCGGAGGCAACUGAGGGAACGAAAGCAUAAGAGCAAAGUGUAGGGAUUAGAUGUGUUCAGAAAAUUGUUUGGUGCUUGUGCAACAUACGGUUAUAUGGGAAUAGAAGAAUAUGAGAGAGGUAAAAGAGGAUGAAACCAGAUUCUGGAGGGCCUUGGAUUGUAAGUUAAGAAGUUUGGUCUUUAUUCUGAAGAUAGCGAGAGCCAUUGAUUUUUUAUGUGCAGGAGAAUUACAUGGUCACACCUGUGCCUGGGAGUACUGUGACAGAUAUUGGAUAAGAAGUUGGAGGCAGGUCACCAGAAAGAGGUAAAAAGGUACUCCUCCACCUUGCUCUCUAAUUGCAACACUGCCUCUCUGUCACGACCCUGACUAUUGUAGGUUACAGCACUGGCUGAGGACUUUCCGAGGGCAUGUAUUUAAUGACAUGCCAGUGGCAUUUACUCAUGAAACCAAAAGCCAUUGGGGCCAGAAAUAGGGGUUUUGGUUACUUCCCCAGACAGGAUGCAGUUUGGGUGAUUAUACAUGUGAUUCAUUGAGGUCGGGAAGCAAAUCCUCUACAAACAAACAGCCCUCCCCUCCAAGCCCAGUGACUCAUGGCUUCUUCAGUUUGAUCCAUGGAAAGCUCUUGAGUCCAGGCAAAGUUUGAGGUAUAAGGUUAUAUCAAAAAUCUUUAGCAUUCAUCAUGACAAGAGAAACAUAUUUAUUCAUUCUUUCAACCAUUCAAGUAGUAAGCAUUUAUUGAACUUCUAUUGUUUUAGAUACAAAGAAUGUGGCAUUAAAAAACAUAGUUCCUGCCAUAAAAUAUUCCCCAGCUUAAUUGGGAAAACAGAUAUACACAACAAAGAGAGUAUCCUGUAAGUAUUAUUAUAGGGAAAUGCAAACAGUGCUAAAGGAUCAGAGGAGAGACACAUAGCUGCUUUGGGAGUGGACAGGUGGCAUUGGAAUUGGGUCUUAAAGAAUAACGAUUCCUCAUUAUUCAUUCAUUAUUCCAACAAAUAAUUAUUGAGCAAGCACUUACUAUGUGCCAGGCGCUGUUUUAUACAUGAGAUUUCAUACUUUUGUGGAACUUAAAUUUUAAUGAGAGGACCCAGAUAUUAAGCAUAGCUGGGAGUCAACCAAACAAAUAUGUACCCUCAAGGUCUUUACCCUCUUGUAAAGGUACGUUUCAGAGAGCAGCAACUAGCACGUUGUUUCAAGCAAGAACAAUGUAUGCUAAAAGAAGAAUGAAUCUAGCUCCCUGAGAGAGACUGGAGAAAGAAACCUCAGAUUUGGGAUGCCUAAUAUGGAAAGAAGGCUUAUUAAUAGCCCCAAAUUAAGAUGGGCAAAUUGCCCUGAGACUCUUUGGGUAUAGUGGACAGACGUAAGUUGGAGACCAUUUUUACAUGGAAAUUCAGAGCAUUCAGUCCCCUGACAUUCUGAUUUUGCAGUAAGUGUCAGGCACAUGGAGUCACUGACUAGGGACUGUGAGUACAGUUGUUUGGAUUCACUGAUAGAGCCUUGAUACCUUCAAUCUGACUGUUUUGCAGUGGCCCAGUGCCAUGAAAAUAAAAACCUAAGACACUGGCCACCUCCUUGCUUAAGUCAUAUUCAGGUCAAAUUCUGUAACAGCCAACUUCUGUUUGGAGGUCGUACUUGGUUCUCAUUUUAUCAGGUUGUCUAAAAUAACCAGGCCAUGAGGUGGUUAUUGUUAUGGUACUCAUUGGAAUGGGAUUUGACCUAUAUAAAGCAAAGAACUAGGACAGAAAUAGCUCUUCAGCCCAUCACAGGGUUGAAGAAAUCCAGUAUAAGCAAUUGUAGAAUCAGAGAGCUGGAAGAGACUCAAGGUGACAUAAGGUGAUCCUGGCAUCUGCCUCUAGGUCUGUCUGGAAAUUUAAUAUAAAUUCUGGAAUUCAUUAUUUUAACAAAUGCAUACAAACAUACUCAUCUAGAAUAGUAUAGUUCCUUUCAGGACAGUGACACUGCCUAGCCUUGGGCAAAACAUCUUUGAACCUCCUGUUUCAUAGCAGACCUCAGAAUUUAUAGCAUAUCCUUUUAAUAUACUUAGUGGAAGAAAUUCAUUGUCUUUUGAAGCUAUUUUGUGCUUUCAAAAAAAAACCCAAGUGCCAUAUUCAGUUGGUCCAGCUGGAUGAUACUGUUUUUGAAUAAAAAUGAAUUUAAGGUGGGGUGCAGUGGCUCAUGCCUGUAAUCCCAGUACUUUGGGAGACCAAGGUGGGUGGAUCACAAGGUCAGGAGUUCUAGACCAGUCUGACCAACAUGGUGAAACCCUAUCUCAGCUAAAAAUACAAAAAAUAGCCGGGCAUGGUGGCACAUGCCUGUAGCCCCAGCUACUCAGGAGGCUGAGGCAGAAGAAUUGCUUGAACCAGUAGCAGUGAGCUGAGAUCACACCACUGUACUCCAGCCUGGGCGACAGAGCAAGACUCCAUCUAAAAAAAUAAUAAUUAAAAAAAAAAGAAUUUAAGUGCAGUUAUAAAAUUGUAAGCUGACAUUUUUGUUUGCCUUAUAACUGGUUCAAAGGGACUUAGCAGCAAUUGAAAAAAUAGGUAUAUAUUUUCCCAGAUUUCUGAUUUGAGGGUAUAUGAAGCUCUGGUUAGUUGUACAGUUCCUCACUCCACUUGGUGAACUUACUUGACGUCAAGGAACAUGUCUUGUGUGUCCUCAAAUACCCACCUACCACAGAGGCAGAUGCAUGUGCGGACUAUUUGUUGAAUGAAUAAAAACCAAUAAUUCCAUUACUGUGUAGUCAUAUCAUGAAUUCUUUGUUCAUUUUGAUUGUUUUCAUCAUAUAUGAAUCCCAUGAUUGCCUGUUACCUUGAGGCUAAUUAGCCAGGAAAAAGCAAAGGAAACAGUGUUUGGUGGAUAGAGCACUGUUGUGGGAAGAAAGUUCAGGCUCUGGCAUAAAAUCUGUUAUGAGUAGGAUGGGUAGCUUUGAAAAAGAUACUUAAGUCUUUGUCUCCAUCAUUUUUUUUUUUUAUUUUUAUUUUUUUGAGACGGAGUUUCGCUUUUGUUACUCAGGCUGGAGUGUAAUGGCCGAUCUCGGCUCACCGCAACCUCCGCCUCCUGGGUUCAGGCAAUUCUCCUGCCUCAGCCUCCUGAGUAGCUAGGACUACAGGCACGCGCCACAGUGCCCAGCUAAUUUUUGUAUUUUUAGUAGAGACAGGGUUUCACCAUGUUCACCAGGAUGGUCUCGAUAUCUUGACCUUGUGAUCCACCCAUCUCAGCCUUGUCUCCAUCUUUAAAUGAAAGGAUUGAACAGAUGAUGGGAAAAGGUACAUUUGAGAAACAACAUCUUGAGUAGAUACUUUGCGCCUCUCUCUAUGUGCAUGCUAUAGUGGAGAUUCAUUGUUAUUCUUACUUAGAGACAGGAUCUCACUCUGUCACCCAGGCUGGAGUAUAGUGGUGCAAGAUCAUAGCUAACUGCAGCCUCAAACUCAUGGGCCCAAGAGAUCCUCCCACCUCAGCCUCCCGAGUAGCUGGGACUACAGGCAUGUGUCAUCACACACAGCUAAUUGUUUUAUUUUUUGCAGAGACAGGGUUUCACUAUGUUGCUAAGGAUAGUCUUGAACUCCUGAGCUCAAGUGAUCCUCCUGCCUCCUUCUAAAGUGGUGUGUGCCCCCAUGCUCAGCCUACAGAAAAUAUUUUUAAGGUUUUUUUUUUUUUUUUUUGAGACCAAGUCUUGCUCUGUGGCCCAGGCUGGAGUGUAGUGGCACGAUCUUGGUUCACUGCAACCUCUGCCAUCAGGGUUUAAGUGAUUCUCAUGCCUCAGCCACUUGAGUACCUGGGGCUAUAGGUGCAUGCUGCCACACUCAGCUAAGUUUUGUAAUUUUAACAGGGACAGGGUUUCACCGUGUUGGUCAGGCUGCUCUCGAACUCCUGACCUCAAGUGAUCCACCUGCCUUGGCCUCCCAAUAUUCUGGGAUUAUAGGUGUGAGCCACUGCGCCCAGCUAUUUUUUUUUUGAGACAGAGUUUCGCGCUUGUUACCCAGGCUGGAGUGCAAUGGCGCGAUCUCGGCUCAUGGCAACCUCCGCCUCCUGGGUUCAGGCAAUUCUCCUGCCUCAGCCUCCUGAGUAGCUGGGAUUACAGGCACGUGCCACCAUGCCCAGCUAAUUUUUUGUAUAUUUUUUAGUAGAGACGGGGUUUCACCAUGUUGACCAGGAUGGUCUCGAUCUCCUGACCUUGUGAUCCACCCGCCUCGGCCUCCCAAAGUGCUGGGAUUACAGGCUUGAGCCACCGUGCUCGGCCCCAGCUAUUUUUAAGGUUUUAGUGUUGUUCAGUACUUUAGUGUUUGCAAGUGACAGAAACCCAGCUUGAUUUACUUAGGUAACAAACCAAACUCUGGAAAGGGCUGGGGUACACCAGGCUCCAGAAAUUACUAGAAUCAGGGACCCAAGCAUUUCCUCCCACUUUGCCCUAAGCUUCUCUCUCUGGAUCAGCUUUAUUCUUUUAGACCUUCCUCCAUGAGGCUGGGAAAAUGUUGCAAAACCUCUGGGAAGUCCUCUGAGCCAGGAAAACAAGAUAACGUGACUGGCAGCUGCUAUAGAACCCCAAGGUUGGAUGCAGAGAAGGUCAGCUCCCCCAGAGAAAAGGUUGUUACACAGUCAAGAUAAAAUAGAGCCUUGCUAAAGCCUGCCUUCUCUUCCUGCCACCUACUCCGACCCUGCUUCUCUCAGCUCCACAAACGCUGGUGACUUUCUACUCUCCUUUCAAGACUCUGUUCAACUUCGCUUUCUCUGAGGCCUGACUGGCAGGGCAGCACAAUCCCUUCUUGUGUAUGCCCCCAAGGCACCUGAACCCAUCUGUACUGGGGAAGUACACCUUGCUGUGUUGCUUGUCCUGGUCUCUUUACCGAUUUUUCUUCCCAUGAGUCCAGGAACUCCUCAAAGGAUAGGGCAGAAAAACAGCCCUUUGGGGUAGGCCAUCUGAUGCAGCUGUACAUGUGAUGUGCUGGCAAUGAAGUAGUUCGGGUGUGCUAAUUUUGAGGAUAUGAAUCACAGAGAAAGAACUGAAGUCUUGUCCCAGGAAGAAAGAGGGCAGGCAGAGGAUUUUUUACUGACUUGACUUUGGACAAAACUGAGAAGAACUCAUAAACUUGGCUUCUUCACUUCUGCUCCUCAGACGCAGGUGGAUGCUGUGAAGAUAAUAGCCUAGCAAGAUGGAAACAGGUUUAAAAUUUUACAUAAGAAGUGACCUUUUUCAGUUGUGUUGAUGUUCCUUUCAGCUGGUCCUAUAGUCCCCCUCCUCAGGAAUGUCUCCCCAGUACAAAGACAAAGACUGCAGAGACUGCUAUAUUGAUGGACCAUCAAGCCAACUAUGAAGUUGAAACAAAGAAAGCGAUCACCUGAAGACACCUCCUCUGCUAAGCAGCACCCACAAAUUGUGCAGCUUCAGCCACUAGGACUCUCAGAACAAGAGGCAAUCUUUUCAAGAAACAGAAAAACUCAAUCAUGACAUCUAGAUUUUCAUGAGCCAAGAACUUUCCCUUCCUCAUGUGUAUUCCUCUGUUUGUGCUUAAAUUCAUGUGCCAUUCAUUUUUUUCCUAAUAUGGAUAUGCUUAUAAUGCACUUGUUUUAAAAUCUCAAAUUGCGCAAAUAUGUUAAUAUUUUAAGAAACAAAAUUAAUCCUACAAGGAGAAUGAUUUUUAAUCACACGCAGGGUUGGAUCUUAAGAGUGGCCUGCAGAAUAAAAAGAACUUUUAAAAUAAAGUAGUCAGAGGCUAUUCAAAGGGUAAAAUAAUCAUACUAUUUCCACUUGACACUAACCAAUCAACUAUUUUUUUUAUCAAGAAAGGUAGAUUCUAUGAGAUAAAAUUACUGCUUCUAAAGUGCUUAAAUCUAAUUAUAAAAAGUUAUAGAAACUUUUGAAAAGAUAAGUAAUAGAUAGGGUUGGUAGAGGAUAAAAUCAAAAACAAAACCAAGCAAAAGAUGAGUUCGGGGGAGUUUGCCAUAAAGUUCUAAAAGAGGAAAAUAUGAGGUGAACCUUGAAAGAUAAAUGGAAAGGAAGGAGAAAAUGGAGUUCUUUAAGUGGAUGUAAUUGGAGGAGAAAAUGAACACACACAUCUUGUCAACUUAACCCCAAACAUUCAGCAGCUCUCCUUAGGAGAGCUUUGCACACAGGAGGAGGUUGCCCACUCACCUCCUGUCUCUCACCCCAGGUAUUACCUAGAAUUAUUAUCAUAUUUCCCUUCCAUUAAAGUAAAUGAGGGUGUUGGGUGACAGUAUGGAGAAGUGUGAUUUUUUCAUUAACCUAAUAAUAACUGGUAUUUAUUGAGUUCUGUUAAGCAUUUCACAUAUUGACUCACUGAAGCCUUAUGACAACUGUGCAAAACAGGUAUUUUUAUUAUUCCCAUUUUACAGGCAAGAAAACUGAGGUUUAAGUAACUUGCCAAAGCGUCAUAUACAAGGCUUACAUUCAGGAUGGCAAUUGCAAAGCUCAUGAUCUAAAGUGCUAGGUUGCAAUAUUGUAAUCAGUGUCAUAAUUAUUAUUCCUUUUUGUAUUCCUUGAUAUUUUUCCAUGGUAAACAAAUAGCUAUUUCAUUUAACAGUCACCUUAAACUUUCCAGCCCUCUGGUUGAAAUGAAUCCAGAGUGAUAGAAUGUGUUUUCAUGACAGAAAUGGCCCAAAAAUGGGGGAAUGAAGUUCAUCAGCAUCUCAGAUUUUUGUUUGCAAGACUUUGAUGAGAGUGUUCAUUUUUGUCUACAUGAAAUCUCAAAUCCUUGAGAAUAAAAAAGGGAGAGGUUUAAGUCAUUUGUUGCAAUGCCCUUUUAAAUAGAGGAGAUAAAUCUAUAGCCCAUACAUUAGGAGUGACUUACAGAAGACUGCAAGUCUUCUUUGGGGUGUGGCUUAGUAAGGACCGGAAACCAGGCCCUCCACUUCACUCUCAGUAGCUCUUGCACUAGUCCGCCCUUCCUAAAGUCAGUGUGCAGUGUGCACUUGAAUUUUGUCAUUGGAAACCAUCUAUCUAGGUAGUAACCAGAUAGUGCCUAAUAGAUUGUUUCUGUUCUAUACUUCUUUGGUUUCCUACCUCAAUGUAAAAAAUAGCUAGCAAUGAAGUCCAGAAGUUGUUAAUGGCUCAUCCCCCAAAGAAUGCAUAAUGUCCAAAGUCAUGUGUAUAAUGUCUUCAAUGGUAUUUUUAAGUUGUUUCGAAUUCUUAGUUCACAUACAUAAAUCAUACUUAACGAGCAUCUUCUUAACCAGCUUUAUGCACAGUAUAUGUUUGUAAGUGCUUCUGCACGAAUGUUUAUAUGUGACUGUUUCCAUAGUACUUACAUUUUUUAAAAUAUUCAGUCAUUUCCUAUUCUAAUUUUCAUGCAUCCAUGUAACUGACUCAAAAUACUUCAGCCAUAAAAAGCUAGAACUGAGCAAAUCUCAUUCUUCUUUUCCAUCCCCUUUGCAUGUGGCUGGCAUUUAGUAAUGAUUAAUAAGGUGAUCAGCUGAAUAAUAGAGGUUCAAGACACAAUUCCAUCUCAAAGGAGUCAGGUAAGCUGGGUCUACUUAUGGAUAAACGUCUAAAUGUGUGGAAGUAUCUGAUAUUUGACUAUGGUAAAUUUCCACUUAGCUAGCUCGCAUUGUCAGUCUUAGAUCUCCUCAUGGCUCUGGCCGUCCUGUUUUCAACAUGAUAACUGAUAGCCACAGCUCACACAGUUCUCAUUAAGUCAGUUCAUAAAUAAACAGAGUUUUUUAAAAGAGCAGCCAAGCACAAAGUGUGACUUUGUUGACAUUUUAUGUGACUUUGUCAUGUGUUUCUAACCCCCAAUAAAAGCGAUGUUGCAUCAACUGUGAACUUGUGUUGAUUUAUUGAAAAAGCAUGCUCUUAUAAGUUGUUUGUUUCCACUAGUGUAUAUCAAAGGUAGUUUCAGGAUCCACAAGGAACAAGUCACCUAAUGUGAUAGGAAAAUUUAACUGUAGAGACAACUUCUAAAGGAUCCCACGUUAUCUUUAAAUAAAAGGUACUGUCAUCUGCCAAGUCAGAAACCAAGGUCUGAUCAUUGUCUCUUCUGGUUCCACCAGCAAUGGUCAAUUACUCACGUAAUCUUUUGAUUUUUUUUCUUCUUUCUGUUAUUUAAAUAUGCCUACAUCUCUACAUCUAUGCUACUGCAGUAAAGAACAACAACCCUAAUUUCUCUCCUGGACUUCCUUACCACGCCUCCAGUUUUCUUCACGCUCCAAGGGGCAGCCAGGGAAUUCUCUCUGAACCACAAAUGUGAUUGUAUUAUUCCAUGGCUUCUAACUCUUCACUGACUUCCCAUUGCCCCUGAGAUAUCACGACACCUAAAGCUCUUCAUGUCCUCAUCCUGGCUCCAAUAGUCCUCUCUGGACUCAUCAACUCCUCAGUCCCUCUGUGAUUCCAGGCUCCUGCCAUACACCUGCCUUUUCUUAAUGUUCCCCGUAUCUUCUGGGCUUUCUCACACACUUCAGCUUCUGCCUAGUACUUUCUCCACUGCACCUUCCAGACUUCAUCACUCAUCCUUCACAUUCCAUCCUAGAAGUCAUUUUCUCUGGAAAGUUUUCACCCCAGCCUCUACCACCGCUAAGACUAGCUUCCCUACCUAGGGGCGUUCAUGUCAUUCUGUGCUUACCUCUUGUUAGCACUUACCACCCAGUGUUGUGCUCAUAUUCAAAUAUGAGAUUCUAGAACUGCACCAUUCAACAAGGUAGCCACUCACCAUAUGUGAUGAUUUCAAUUUAAAUUAAUUAAGUAAAAUUUAAAAUUUAGUUCCUCAGUUGCAUUGCUCACAUCUCAAGUUCUCAGUAGCCACAAGCAACUGGUGGCCACUCUGUUGAACUGAACAGAUACAGAACAUGUCUAUAACUGAGACAGUUCCACUGGACAGUGCUGCUCCAGAACAUAAAUGCUAUGUUUUGCUUGCUAUUUUAUCCUCUAGACUUGCAGCCCUUUCUUAACUGGGGUUUCUCAUGUGAACCACAGAAAACAAAAAUAUGAUUUGAAUGAUACUUUCUCAAUUCUCCCAAGAAUGAUGUAUAAAAAGUACAAUGUUAUAUGCAAAGGAAGGAGCAUUAGGGUUCAAUUCUAGCAUAAAAUCCUGAUCAGGAAAGUCUAUAAUAGCCUAGCACAAUGCUUGGCAUCAAAAGUGCUUCAUAAAUGUCUGCUGAAUAAAUAUUGCAACUGGACCCUUGAGACAGUUUAUUUAUUUUCACCUAGAUGUGUAGAGUCAUGUAGGAAACAUGUCUUUAGAUUCCGAAGGGCCCCUUCUCUAGAGAAUGUGAUAGAUGAUUUUUUAAAAAUUUCAUCCCAAGGAUAGGUGAAUGGUAUUGCAGCGAAAGAUUAUCUAUUAUUUCACUUUCCUUUGAUGUUUACACAGACCAAAAAAAAAAAAGAAGAAGAAGAAGAAGAAGAAGAACUAAAUUGAGCUCUUAUUAAGUGAAUGAGAUAUGAGACGAACGUAGAAGUGAUUCAAUAACUACUGAUGCUACGAAGAAGCUAUCUAGAUAAAUGAUGGAUAGCUCGGGAAGGUUGUUCAAGGAUCAAAAUUUUGCUUCAGAUAACCUUCCUUCCACCUCACAAAAACUCACAAGCUGCAACAUUUCUGAUGUCUACUUCCACACAAGCCAACUUCAGGCCUUUUUCAAGUUCUGGAGGUCAGAAUUCCGACAUGGAUCUCACUGGGCUAAAAUCAAGCUGUUGACAUGGCUGCAUUCCUUCUGGAAACUCUAGUGAGAAAUUCAUUUUCUUGCCCUUUUCAGCUUCAAGAGGCCACACGUUUUUCAGAAUUAAUAGACCAGAUGUGACUGGAGUGACUUGCACCCGGAUGCCUAGACUCACCAUCUGCUCAAAGAUUGCUCGGAAAGUCCUCCCAUGCAUUCCCUUGCUGCAUACCAGCCCACUCUGCCUGCAGCUGCUGUCUGCAGGACUUCAUAUCUGCCCCACACUGUUUAAAAGCUGUGCUUCAAGAAAUCACAAGAACAUUUGCCUGCACCUUCUACACUGCUUAAAUGUGGCAUAAGUUGACCUUGCUUUCUAAGAAAUGGGGCAAGAAAUGCUUUGUGUGUGUGUGUGUGUUGUGUCUGUUUGUGUUUCAGUUAAGAGAGAAAAGCAUUAGGCAGAUGGAAUGUACAUGUGAGGAUGAGGAGACAGAAAAGAAGUAGCCCUUUCCAUCAAGAUAGAGGGUUUUCUGGGGAUGCUGGGUCUUGAAUGUCACUCCUGAUUCUUCUUUCUUAGGCACUGUACCACCAGCCUACUGAGAUUGUGUGGGAGCUUUCAUGGGGGUUGUGUUUCACUAAUGAAAAUAAAUUUUGUGCACAAUCUGAA